rnacentral:rRNA from 1 species
GACGAACGCUGGCGGCGUGCCUAAUACAUGCAAGUCGAACGCAUUUUCUUUCACCGUAGCUUGCUACACCGAAAGAAAAUGAGUGGCGAACGGGUGAGUAACACGUGGGUAACCUGCCCAUCAGCGGGGGAUAACACUUGGAAACAGGUGCUAAUACCGCAUAAUUCCAUUUACCGCAUGGUAGAUGGAUGAAAGGCGCUUUUGCGUCACUGAUGGAUGGACCCGCGGUGCAUUAGCUAGUUGGUGGGGUAACGGCCUACCAAGGCUGCGAUGCAUAGCCGACCUGAGAGGGUGAUCGGCCACAUUGGGACUGAGACACGGCCCAGACUCCUACGGGAGGCAGCAGUAGGGAAUCUUCGGCAAUGGACACAAGUCUGACCGAGCAACGCCGCGUGAGUGAAGAAGGUUUUCGGAUCGUAAAACUCUGUUGUUAGAGAAGAACAAGGAUGAGAGUGGAAAGUUCAUCCCUUGACGGUAUCUAACCAGAAAGCCACGGCUAACUACGUG